rnacentral:rRNA from 1 species
UACGUAGGGUGCAAGCGUUAAUCGGAAUUACUGGGCGUAAAGCGUGCGCAGGCGGCUUUGCAAGACAGAUGUGAAAUCCCCGGGCUCAACCUGGGAACUGCAUUUGUGACUGCAUGGCUGGAGUGCGGCAGAGGGGGGAUGGAAUUCCGCGUGUAGCAGUGAAAAUGCGUAGAUAUGCGGAGGAACACCGAUGGCGAAGGCAAUCCCCCUGGGCCUGCACUGACGCUCAUGCACGAAAAGCGUGGGGAGCAAACAGGAUUAGAAACCCCGA